AGUUUCCUUUCCCUCUCGUACCGCCGCCAUUUCCCCUCUCCCUUCUCUGUUUCUUUCCCACGAAGAACAACAAACGAGAAACCCCUGUACACCACCGCACUUUCCCCUCCUUGGCACCGUCGAACCAGGUCACCCCUCGCCGAGCUGAGACCACCGGCGGAUGCGCCUCGUCGUCCUCUCCAUCCUCAUGCGAGGAAUCGAACCGAAACCUCUCCAAUCGGCCACAAAAUCGCCGAUUCCGUCCUCUUGCUGCCGGCGUCUUCUUCAAAAUCCGGCACCGUUCGACCUCCCCUAGCCCAUCCGAGCUCACCAACGCGUUCCUGGUGAGAAACCGCGUCUCCCAGACCAAAAUUGCUCUUCCCGUUUCUUCUCAUGGACGCGCCGCCGGUGUUGACCGCCGUUCUUCUCCACACGUACAUGUCGCCGGCGAUGCCCCGGCGAAUCUCCGGCCGUCCUCCUACCCGUCGUUGAUCCGUCGCGCCAAGGCGCAGCUCUGACACCAGCCGCCUCAUCUCGGUUCGAACUUCCCCAUCGUCCCCGUGCUCGUCUGCAAGCUCCGCCAUGGAUGUUUUGGCCCCUGAGCUCCGAUUCGACUUGGUUAAGUUACGCCGCGCCCUCCUCUUAACACAAUCUGUAUUAGCAGCGCAAUGAUCCGGCGCCCGACGGGCCUCGGCCCAGAUCUUCCCGGCACAGUUCGUUGCCCCGCGCGCCCAGCUCCAAUCCACCGCCUCUUCCGCCAGCAUUUGCUUCUUCCCGGAUAGGAUCGCGAAGUGGUGUGGUGAGAUACGACGAGUUCUCCGGAUGUUCCUCGGCAAGCUUUAA